UGGGGAAUAUUGGACAAUGGGCGAAAGCCUGAUCCAGCCAUGCCGCGUGUGUGAAGAAGGUCUUCGGAUUGUAAAGCACUUUAAGUUGGGAGGAAGGGCAGUAAGCGAAUACCUUGCUGUUUUGACGUUACCGACAGAAUAAGCACCGGCUAACUCUGUGCCAGCAGCCGCGAUAAUACAGAGGGUGCAAGCGUUAAUCGGAAUUACUGGGCGUAAAGCGCGCGUAGGUGGUUCGUUAAGUUGAAUGUGAAAGCCCCGGGCUCAACCUGGGAACUGCAUCCAAAACUGGCGAGCUAGAGUAGGGCAGAGGGUGGUGGAAUUUCCUGUGUAGCGGUGAAAUGCGUAGAUAUAGGAAGGAACACCAGUGGCGAAGGCGACCACCUGGGCUCAUACUAACACUGAGGUGCGAAAGCGUGGGGAGCAAACAGG
rnacentral:rRNA from 1 species